rnacentral:misc_RNA from 1 species
AAGUCGUAACAAGGUUUCCGUAGGUGAACCUGCGGAAGGAUCAUUACCGAGAUAGGGGUGCCGAAAGGCGCCCCGACCUCCAACCCAUUGUCUACACACCUCUGUUGCCUCGGCGGGCCGUCGAAAGCCUUACAUUGGCCCUAGCCGUCGGCUCUCACGAGCCCUCGCGCGCCCGCCGAAGGACCAUCAAAAACCAAUUUGAAACGAGUCUUCUGAGUUAUAUUAUAAUACUUCAAAACUUUCAACAACGGAUCUCUUGGUUCUC